rnacentral:ncRNA from 1 species
AGUGGAGAAGGGUUCCAUGUGAACAGCAGUUGAACAUGGGUCAGUCGACCCUAAGGGAUAGGCGAAGGCCGUUCUGAAGCGGGGUGAUGUUCGCGUCGCCCCGGCGGACCGAAAGGGAAUCGGGUUAAUAUUCCCGAACCUCGACGCGGAGAUUGGCGCUCCGGCGCCUAGUGCGGCAACGCAAACGAACUCGGAAACGCCGACGUGGGUCCCGGGAAGAGUUCUCUUUUCUUGGUAAGGGGCGGCGACCCUGGAAUCGGUUCGCCCGGAGAUAGGGACAUGGGCCCCGUAAAGCAGCACGUCUCUUGUGCUGUCCGGUGAGCUCGCGUCGGCCCUUGAAAAUCCGAGGGAGACGGUGUAAUUUUCGUGCGAGGUCGUACCCAUAUCCGCAGCAGGUCUCCAAGGUGAACAGCCUCUGGCCGAUAGAACAAUGUAGGUAAGGGAAGUCGGCAAACUAGAUCCGUAACUUCGGGAAAAGGAUUGGCUCUAGGGGCUGGGUCGGUCGGGCUGAGGUACGAAGCGGGGCGCGGCGCUGUACCGGACUGGGCGAACGACGGCCUCCCUCGCGGGGGGCUGGCGUGAGCCUGGACCUGUGUCGGCGUCUUCCCGUGGAAUGCCGCAGCUAACCCGGGCCUCGCGGCCCGCUUCGGCCGGCGUCGAACAGCCGACUUAGA